rnacentral:rRNA from 1 species
AUUGAACGCUGGCGGAAUGCUUUACACAUGCAAGUCGAACGGCAGCACGGGAGCUUGCUCCUGGUGGCGAGUGGCGAACGGGUGAGUAAUACAUCGGAACGUACCCAGUUAUGGGGGAUAACUAACCGAAAGGUUAGCUAAUACCGCAUACGCCCUGAGGGGGAAGGCGGGGGACCGUAAGGCCUCGCGUAAUUGGAGCG